GCAUAAUCAUUUGCCCCUUAAUUCGGGGCCUGUAUGAAAGGACGAACGAAACUCCAACUUUAUUGAUCCUACUUCCUAAAACCUAAAUUCCAGGUGAAAAUGCCUGGAUAAACUUGAAAGACAAGAAGACCCUGUAGAGUUUUAGUAGCUCCCUUCUCCUUAACAAACUCUUACUUUAAUUGGGGCGAUUAAGGAUUUCAUUUAACAUCCUAAAAUAAUAUUGACCCAAAGUCCGAUAAAGAUCCUAACUCUAGAACCUAAACCAAACUACCUCAGGGAUAACAGGCUUAUCUUCCUAACGAGUUCAAAUUAACAGGAAGGUUUGGCACCUCGAUGUUGGCUUAGAGAAACCUAGCAAAGCAAAAAUUGCUCUGGUUAGUUUGUUCAACUAUUAAACCUCU
rnacentral:rRNA from 1 species